rnacentral:tRNA from 1 species
GCCUGGUUAGCUUGGAAGGUAACCGACUGCCUCGUAAGUGGUAGGUCGCGGAUUCGAUUCCCGCACGGGGCG